CGGCAAUGGAGGAAACUCUGACCGAGCAACGCCGCGUGAACGAUGAAGUAUUUCGGUACGUAAAGUUCUUUUAUUAGGGAAGAAUAAAUGAUGGAAAAAUCAUUCUGACGGUACCUAAUGAAUAAGCCCCGGCUAACUAUGUGCCAGCAGCCGCGGUAAUACAUAGGGGGCAAGCGUUAUCCGGAAUUAUUGGGCGUAAAGGGUGCGUAGGCGGUUAAAUAAGUUUAUGGUCUAAGUGCAAUGCUCAACAUUGUGAUGCUAUAAAAACUGUUUAGCUAGAGUAAGAUAGAGGCAAGUGGAAUUCCAUGUGUAGUGGUAAAAUGCGUAAAUAUAUGGAGGAACACCAGUAGCGAAGGCGGCUUGCUGGGUCUUUACUGACGCUGAGGCACGAAAGCGUGGGGAGCAAACAGGAUUAGAUACCCUGGUAGUCCACGCCGUAAACGAUGAGUACUAAACGUUGGGUAAAACCAGUGUUGAAGUUAACACAUUAAGUACUCCGCCUGAGUAGUACGUACGCAAGUAUGAAACUUAAAGGAAUUGACGGGACUCCGCACAAGCGGUGGAUCAUGUUGUUUAAUUCGAAGGUACCCGAAAAACCUCACCAGGUCUUGACAUGCUUCUGCAAAGCUGUGGAAACACAGUGGAGGUUAUCAGUUGCACAGGUGGUGCAUGGUUGUCGUCAGCUCGUGUCGUGAGAUGUUGGGUUAAGUCCCGCAACGAGCGCAACCCUUAUUGUUAGUUACCAGCACGUAAUGGUGGGGACUUUAGCAAGACUGCCAGUGAUAAAUUGGAGGAAGGUGGGGACGACGUCAAAUCAUCAUGCCCCUUAUGACCUGGGCUACAAACGUGAUACAAUGGCUGUUACAAGAGUAGCUGAA
rnacentral:rRNA from 1 species